UCUUUCCCUGUAUAGAAACAAAAUUCUUACAGAUUUGUCUCUAUUGUUUCCAAGUCCUUUCCUUCCAUUUUCUCCUGAACGCUCUCUAAGAGCCUUUCCUUACCACCACCCCACUAAUCUCCAUAUUGCAGAGUCUGGUUGUUUAUUCUCAGUCCUCAUUUUACUCCUUCUAUCAGGGAUUUCAUCUUAUUUCAUCCUUUUCGGCAGUUAACUUCAAGGACACCAGAGUUUUCUGAUUUUCCUUCCAUCUCACUGGCUACUCCUUCUGAACACCAAAGAGCUCAGACCUUGGCCUCCUUCCUGUCUCCAUUCACUCCCUUGAUGAUCUGAUUGAGCCUCAUGGCAUCAAAUGCCACAUGUGUACUUAUGACUCCCAGAUUUUGUCUUUGGCCCAGGUCUGUCCCUGAAUUCCAAGCUGGUGUAUAACUUCCUACUCAACAUCUCCACUUGAGUAUCUAACUGGCGUCUCAGAUCUAGCAUAUCCCAGACUGACAUCUUAGCUUCCCUUCUCAACUUACACCACCCAGGCUUCCUUGUCAGGGUUGAUGGCAACUCUGUCUUUCCAGCUGUUCAGGCCAAAAACCCAGGGCUCACCCUUGACUCCUCUUUGUCUCACAUCUCACAUCCAAUGUGUCUGAAAUUUGCCCAUUUUUUACCACCUUGGGCCACCCCAGGCCUUCCUUUUUUCCCUAGACCGAGUGGCUUCAUGUCUCGGCAAUGUGGACUUUAUUUUUCAAGCAAUGAGGAGUCAUUGAAAAGUCUUAAGUAGAGGGAAACAUAAGCAGAUUCAUUUUGGGAAGGUCACUCUUACAGCAAAGUGGAAGAUAAGGUGGACAGGGCACACCUGGAGCAGGGGGAUACUCAAAAGAAGAACGAUUGCAAUAGCCUAGGAGAAAGAUGACAAAGACCUGAAACAAGGUCGGCUCUGUGGGGACAAAGAGAGAGAAGACAAGGCUAACAUAUUUAAAUAUAUAUAUAUACAAUCCCUUAGAUUUGGUGUAUCAUUGAAUAUGGAGAAAGGAAGGAGUCAAGGAUGAUUCCCAGUUCUCAGCCUUGGGUGUGUUUGGAUGGCGGUGCUACCACCUGACAUAGGAGACAGGAGCAACUACAGAGGAGAAAUGAUGAGUUCUGUUGGACAGACUGAGUUCUGGGUAUUCAGGGACAUCUCAGUGCAGAUGUCCAGGAUGUUGUAAAUUUUAUGGGUCAGGAGCUCUGGAGAGUGGUUUGGGCUGAAGAUGUGAAUUUAGGGGUUAUUUGUACACAUACCGUUCUAGCCUGGGCUUAGGAAUUGCUCAGUGAUAGUGUAGUAUCUCCCUCAGUGAUAGCCGAGGGAGAAGAAAAACAAUCCAAGGAUAACGGUAGGUCUGUGCAGAGGAAAAGGAGCCCCUAAGCAUUCAGAAUGGUUGGAGGUAAGAUGAAAACCAAGAGAGGAUGAUGUGUCAGAAAUUGAGGGAGGAAUUUCACGAGAGGGAGUUAUCAUCAAGUAAGAUUAGGAUUGUCUUAGCUCAGGCUGCUAUAACAAAUUACCAUAGACCAAGGUGGCUUUAACAACAGACAUUGAUUUCUCCCAGUUCCGGAGACUGGAAGUCCAAGUCAAGGUGCUGGUAGAUAUGGGGCCUGGUGAGAGCCCUCUUCCUGGCUUGCCAAAGGCCACCUUCUGGCUGUGUCCUCACAUGGUGGAGAGAGGGGUGAGGUAU
ensembl:lncRNA